GAAGACUAGAUGUUAACACUGAAUGCUAAGCCGUCAUGCUCAAGAAGGUAUUGGAAACCUGGAGCUGCUGGAGUCAGAGAGCCAGAGUCUGGAGAAGGUUGCAGAGACGAGUGAGAUAACUGUCUGUGGUGCAGCUUGAGUCACUGGAGGGCCAUCUGACUAUGAAAGGGGAUGUGCCAGACAGCUAUCAAAGCUUGAAGUGAAGAAAGUCACAGACUGGGAACAAACUUGCCAAACAGAACCUAACACCUCAAAGUAAAAAUCUUGUACAAAUGAUUAAGUGGCAUACUUUUGAGGUCAAGGGAACCGGUAGUGCCUACACUUCUCACUAAACAAUAAUAAUGACCUCCUGCCUGUGUAGAGAUGAAUGGCUUGCAAAAUUUCAGGAAGUCUCACAUGAGGAAUGCUCCUCUCUGCCCUGUCUGGACUUCUCAAUCAGAAACUCAAGUCAGCUGCCUUAAAGGGGCUUCUCUGUUAAUUUCUGCUAAACGUGUAAGCCCCACUUGAUGGUGCUGCCUGCCUCUCUGCUGUUAUUCGUUUACUCAAAAGCCUCAUUGGAGGGAUACUCUGCUCUGUCCAGACUUCUCAAUUAGGAACCCCAGCUGGCUGCCUUAAGUUAGGGGCUCCCUCAGUGGGUUUCUGCUAGAGCUUUUGAGUGCCCAAUUUCAUGGUGGCUUACUU